rnacentral:rRNA from 1 species
GUAGCAUAAUCAUUAGUUUUUUAAUUGAGAACUGGAAUGAAAGGUUGGACAAAGAAAUAACUGUCUUUAGGUAUAGAAAUUGAAAUUUACUUUUAAGUGAAAAGGCUUAAAUAUGUUAAAGGGACGAUAAGACCCUAUAAAGCUUUAUAUAUUGACUUUACUCAGUUGGUUAAAAUGAUAAAAAUUGGGUUAGGUUGUUAUAUUUUGUUGGGGCGAUAUGAAUAUAAUUUUUAUAACUGUUUAAAAUAAAUACAUUAAUGGAUGAGUUUAUAUAUAAAUGAUCCUUUAUAAAGAUUAAAAACUAAGUUACUUUAGGGAUAACAGCGUUAUUUUUUCUGAGAGUUCUUAUCGAAGAAAAAGUGUGCGACCUCGAUGUUGAAUUAAAAUGUCUAUAUAAUGCAGCCGUUAUAAAAGAGGGUCUGUUCGACCUUUAAAUUUUU